GAUGAACGCUGGCGGCGUGCCUAAUACAUGCAAGUCGAGCGAACGGACGAGAAGCUUGCUUCUCUGAUGUUAGCGGCGGACGGGUGAGUAACACGUGGAUAACCUACCUAUAAGACUGGGAUAACUUCGGGAAACCGGAGCUAAUACCGGAUAAUAUUUUGAACCGCAUGGUUCAAAAGUAAAAGACGGUCUUGCUGUCACUUAUAGAUGGAUCCGCGCUGCAUUAGCUAGUUGGUAAGGUAACGGCUUACCAAGGCAACGAUGCAUAGCCGACCUGAGAGGGUGAUCGGCGACACUGGAACUGAGACACGGUCCAGACUCCUACGGGAGGCAGCAGUAGGGAAUCUGCCGCAAUGGGCGAAAGCCUUACGGAGCAACGCCGCGUGAGUGAUGAAGGUCUUCGGAUCGUAAAACUCUGUUAUUAGGGAAGAACAUAUGUGUAAGUAACUGUGCACAUCUUGACGGUACCUAAUCAGAAAGCCACGGCUAACUACGUG
rnacentral:rRNA from 1 species